rnacentral:rRNA from 1 species
ACUCCUACGGGAGGCAGCAGUGGGAAUGAUUGCACAAUGGGAAACCGGACUGAUGCAGCCAUGCCGCGUGUGUGAAGAAGGCCUUCGGGUUGUAAAGCACUUUCAGUCGUGAGGAAAGGGUUGUAGUUAAUACCUGCAAUCUGUGACGUUAGCGACAGAAGAAGCACCGGCUAACUCCGUGCCAGCAGCCGCGGUAAUACGGAGGGUGCGAGCGUUAAUCGGAAUUACUGGGCGUAAAGCGUGCGUAGGCGGAUGAUUAAGCGAGAUGUGAAAUCCCGGGCUCAA